GCCGGGCAUGGUGGUGCAUGCCUGUAAUCCCAGCUACUCGGGAGGCUGAGGCAGGAGAAUUGCUUGAACCCAGGAGGUAGAGGUUGCAGUGAGCUGAGAUCGUGCCAUUGCACUCCAGCCUGGGUGACAGAGCGAGACUCUGUCUAAA
ensembl:misc_RNA Metazoa_SRP Metazoan signal recognition particle RNA